CCUACGGGAGGCAGCAGUAGGGAAUAUUGGUCAAUGGACGAAAGUCUGAACCAGCCAUGCCGCGUGAAGGAUGAAGGCCCUAUGGGUCGUAAACUUCUUUUAUUAGGGAAGAAACCUUAGGAUGCGUCCUAAGCUGACGGUACCUAAUGAAUAAGGAUCGGCUAACUUCGUGCCAGCAGCCGCGGUAAGACGAAGGAUCCAAGCGUUGUCCGGAUUUACUGGGUUUAAAGGGUGCGUAGGCGGAAAAUUAAGUCAGUGGUGAAAGCCCGCAGCUCAACUGUGGAACUGCCAUUGAAACUGAUUUCUUGAAUAUAGUUGAGGCAGAUGGAAUAUAACAUGUAGCGGUGAAAUGCUUAGAUAUGUUAUAGAACACCGAUUGCGAAGGCAGUCUGCUAAGCUAUUAUUGACGCUGAGGCACGAAAGCGUGGGGAGCGAACAGGAUUAGAUACCCUGGUAGUCCACGCCCUAAACGUUGAUUACUCGCUGUUGGCGAUAUACUNUNAGUGNGAGAGAAGAGUAGUAAGUACACCNCGAGGACGACGAACGAGUAGUUAAGUUAAAGUAAAGUUAGUUAGCGNGNGAGNGCGACGACGACGACGAGGAGGAGG
rnacentral:rRNA from 1 species